UAGAUACUCUCUCCGUUCGGAAUUACUUGUCCAAGAAAUGAAUGUAUCUAGAUGUAUUUUAGUUGUAGAUACAUCCAUUUUUAUGACAAGUAAUUUCGAAUGGAAGAAGUAGAAG
rnacentral:pre_miRNA from 1 species